AAAAUAUCUAUCCUCCCUCUAAGCCUAGGUAGAAAACUAAGUUAUAAGACAAGGAUGAACACGAUAUAUGGUACUUUUUAAAAUCUGGUUCCCAAAGAAAUAAAACAUUUUAAAAAGAAUUUUAAAAUAAUGUAUUUAGCUUAUGCUGAGUAUAUAUUAGUGAGCAACUAAUUUAAAAAUAUUUAAGGAAUAAUAGUCCCCUCUGUUAUAAUAAAUUACUAUUGACCUAAUUUAUUUAUUAAGCUUCUCUUCUUAUUUGGGUAAUUAAUUCUAAGAAUUAGAACUUGUUUACACUAGUAAAUAUACUUUUAUUAUUUUCUUACUUAAAUAAGUUUUAUCAAUUUUAAAUUAAAUAUAAACUAAAUAACUUGAGAUUCUCCAAACUGUUUAACAAAGACAUAGUAAGACUGUGUCUUAUGUAUCUGCCCAAUGAAUAAUUUUUUAUGGCUUUAAAGUAGCGCAAUAAUUAGUUUAUUAAUUGUAAACCUGUAUGAAGCUAGCAUUGGUUAAUCAUGUUUAUUCUUAUCUGUUGAAUCUUAGUUAUCAGUACAAACGCUGAUAUGCUCCCCGAAGACGAUAAGACCCUAAGACCUUUACCUUGUUUGGCUGGGAUAGCCUACUUAAUAUAAUAAAGAAACCUUAAUUAUUACGAACCAAUUAUUUUGCUAUACAUAGGUACCUUAGGGAUAACAGCGCGUAAUACUUUUAGAGCUCUUAUUUAAAAGAUAUUCGUGACCUCGAUGUUGAAUUAAGUAAUAUAGUGCUGCAGAAGGUGCUAUUUUAAGUCUGUUCGACU
rnacentral:rRNA from 1 species